UACGUAGGGUGCGAGCGUUAAUCGGAAUUACUGGGCGUAAAGUGUGCGCAGGCGGCUUCGCAAGUCGAGUGUGAAAGCCCCGAGCUUAACUUGGGAAUUGCGCUCGAAACUACGUGGCUGGAGUGUGGCAGAGGAAGGUGGAAUUCCAGGUGUAGCGGUGAAAUGCGUAGAGAUCUGGAGGAACACCGAUGGCGAAGGCAGCCUUCUGGGCCAACACUGACGCUCAUGCACGAAAGCGUGGGGAGCAAACAGG
rnacentral:rRNA from 1 species